rnacentral:lncRNA from 1 species
GUUGAUUCCAAAGGUUUGUUUGUUUGUUUGUUUUUGUUUUUUUGAGGCUAUUGUUUUUUUUGUUUGUUUGUUUGUUUGUUUUUGUUUUUUUGAGGCUAUUGUAAAUGGGGUAGUUUUCCUUGUUUCCCUUUCUGAGGACUUGUCACUGAUAUACAGAAAUACCUUUGAUUUAUGGGUGUUGAUUUUAUAUCCUUCUACUGAAUUCAUUUAUUAGUUCUAGAAGUUUUCUGGUAGAAUUUUAAGAUCUUCUAGGUAUAGAAUCAUAUCCUCAGCAAAUAGUGCCAAUUUGAGUUCUUCUUUUCCUAUGUGUAUCCCUUUAAUUUCUUUCAUCUAAUUGCUCUGGCUAGUGUUUCAAGAACUAUAUUAAAUAGAAGUGGUGAAAGAGGGCAUCCCUGUCUUGUUCCAGUUUUUAGAGGGAAUGCUUUCAAUUUUUCUCCAUUUAGAAUGAUGUUUUUGCCUGGGGCUUAGCAUAGAUAGCCUUUGAUAUAUGUUCCUGUUAUCCAUAAUUUUUCUAGUGUUUUGAACAUGAAGGAAUGCUGUAUUUUGUCAAAUGCCUUUUCUGCAUCUAUUAAGAUAAUCAAUCAUAUGAUUCUUAUCUUUGAGUAUAUUGAUGUGAUAAAUUACAUUUAUUGAUUUCUGUAUGUUGAACAAGCCUUGAAUCCUUGGAUAAAUCCCACUUGAUCAUGGUGCAUGAUCUUUUUGAUAUGUUUCUGUAUUCAAUUGCCAAAAUUUUAUUGAGAAUUUUUGCAUCUAUGUUCAUUAGAGAUUUUGGUCUGAAGUUUUCUUUCUUUGAGUGUCUUUGCCUGGUUUUGGAAUCAGGGUAAUAUUGGCCUCAUAGAAUGAGUAUGGAAGUGCUCCCUCUUUUUCUAUUUCCUGAAAUAAAUUGAAGAGUAUUGAUAUUAGUUCUUCUUAAAGGUCUUGUAGAACUCGACUGUGUAUCCAUCUGGUCCUGGGCUUUUCUUGGUUGGUAGGCUUCUGGUGGUGUCUUCUAUUUCAUCACUUGAUGUUGGUCUGUUUAAAUUGUGUAUAUCAUCCUGAUUCUAUUUGGGCAAAUCAUAUGACUUAAGAAAUUUGUCAAUGCCUUCAAUAUCUUCUAUUUUAUUGGAGUACAGUUUUCAAAAUAAUUUCUAAUUAUCCUCUGUAUUUCUGAAGUGUCUAUUGUGAUAUUGAUAUCUGGCUUCUUUCACUUAGCAUAAAGGUUUUGAAAUUAUUCCACAUAUGUAUCAGUAUUUUAUUCCUUUUCAUCUCUGGGAAGCAUUCCAUUUCAUGCAUAUACCACAUUUUCUUUACUCAUUCACUAGUUGAUAGCUGGAUUGCCACCAGCUGUUGAGUAGUGUGUCUCUAUGACUAUUCACAUACAGAUCUUCGUGUGAACAUUUUUCCAUUUCUCUUGGUAGAAAGCUGGAUCGUUUGGUAAAUAUAUGUUAAAUUUUAUAAAGAGCAGUGUGUAGUGUAUCUCUAUUAUGUUAUAUAUUUGCCAGUGUUGGAAGCAGUGAUUUGAAUUAUGGCCUUGAUAAGAACACACUUGUGAUGGGAACUCUUGGUACAAAGAUGCCAGUUGAGAGUGCCCAGUUGCUAUGGUGAUGGCCUGCUCAAAAGGAGGUUCUGUGCCUGCCAUAGAGCUAUCAAUCUUAACCUGAGUUCAGACACAUGCUUCCAGAGGUAGAGAAUUAUGAGCACAAGCUGAUAAUUAUAAUUUGGGACCUCUAGUCUUUGACUGUGGCUCUUUGUGAAGAAACUUUCUCACCGAGAAUCCUUUUGAUAUUAAAAUCUAUAUUAUAAACAUGCUGAGCUAGCUCUGGUUCAUUAUACAGCCAUCAGGGUGUAAUGUCCCACCUAGUCCCAGCUUUUUCUCUCCUGUGUGUCUGUCUGUCUUUUCUGAUCUCCCAUUGCCUCUUGUCCAGUUUCUGAAUUAACCACCACACAGGUCACAGCAUGCCAGCAACAGAUAAGUAUUCUGGUUUCACUUCACUCUCACCAACCCUUUUGGCCAUUCUAGUCAGUGUCUAAUGAUAUCUCACUAUGACUCCUUCUUGCCUAUUUUUUGCCAGUUCUUUUAAUUGGCUUUCUUAUGGUUGAGUUGAAAAAGUUUAUUAUAUAUCCUGGGUAUAAGUCAUUUAGAAGAUAUGUGUUUCAUGAAUAUCUACUCCCACUCUGUGUCCUGUCUUUUUUUCCCCUUCUUUUUUUUAAUGGCAUACCUUGAUAAAUUUCAAAUUUUAUUCUGGGGCUGGGGUUGUGGCUCAGUGGUAGAAUGCUCGCCUAGCAUGCACAAAGCACUGGGUUCUAUCCUUAGCACCACAUAAAUGUAAAAUAAAGAUAUUGUGUGUCCACCUAAAACUCAAGAAUAAAUAUUUUAAAAAAUUUUUUGAUCAAGCCUAUUUUACCAUUAAAAAAUGUAUCAUUCCUUCUUUGAGUGGCAUCAUAAGGCAUCUUCUAAUACAGAAAGUUUAAAAGCAGAAAUAUGGGAGAAAU